rnacentral:rRNA from 1 species
UGAGCCCGAGUAAACGGCGGCCGUAACUAUAACGGUCCUAAGGUAGCGAAAUUCCUUGUCGGUUAAAUACCGACCUGCAUGAAUGGCGUAACGAGAUGGGAGCUGUCUCAACCAGAGAUUCAGUGAAAUUGUAGUGGAGGUGAAAAUUCCUCCUACCCGCGGCAAGACGGAAAGACCCCGUGGACCUUUACUACAACUUAGCACUGCUAAUGGGAAUAUCAUGCGCAGGAUAGGUGGGAGGCUUUGAAGUAAGGGCUUUGGCUCUUAUGGAGUCAA